CCCCAUUGGUCGUGGAGGGUUUUCCUGGGCUUGCGUUGGGGCGCAGCGGUUGAUUAAGGAAUUCUAGGGGGUAAAGCGCUGUCUCGGUGCGGGCUGCGAAAGCGGUACUAAUCUGUUGCAAACUCGGAAUACCUAGAAUGUUUUCAAUCAGCCAGUGAGACUGCGGGGGAUAAGCUCCGUAGUCAAAAGGGAAACAGCCCAGACCACCAGCUAAGGCUCCUAAAUAAAAGCUAAGUGGCAAAGGAGGUGAAAGUGCAGUGACAAUCAGGAGGUUUGCCUAGAAGCAGCCACCCUCUAAGGAGUGCGUAAUAGCUCACUGAUCAAGCGCUUUUGCGCCGAAAAUGACCGGAACUAAGUUUUUUGCCGAAGCUGUGGCUACAUCACACAGAUGAUGUAGGGUAGAGGAGCGUUCCGCCCAGGGGGAAGCCAAGCGCGUAAGCCGCGGUGGACAGGGCGGAAGUGAGAAUGUCAGCUUGAGUAACGCAAACAUUGGUGAGAAUCCAGUGCCCCGAAAACUCAAGGGUUCCUGCGCAAGGCUCGUCCGCGCAGGGUCAGUCAGGACCUAAGGUGAGGCCGAAAGGCGUAAUUGAUGGCAAGAAGGUUUAUAUUCCUUCACUAGUCUAGGCUUAGUCCUGAGGGACGAACAAAUAACACUCGGCACAAUGGCCUUCCAUGGUAGGAAGGGUCAAACCAUUGUUGUUUGAUGGUAUUUUUUCCAAGAAAAGCUCAUUCGACUUUGAGUCUAGACUACCUGUACCGUAAACCGACACAGGUGAGUGGGUUGAAUAAACUAAGGGGAGCGAGAUAACUCUCUCUAAGGAACUCGGCAAAUUGGCUCUGUACCUUCGGAAGAAAGAGUGCCCCUCAGGGGGCCGCAGUGAAGAGAUCCAGGCGACUGUUUACCAAAAACACAGGUCUCCGCAAAGUCGUAAGACGACGUAUGGGGGCUGACACCUGCCCAGUGCCAGAAGGUUAAAGAAGUUGGUCAAUCUAUGAUGAAGCUAACGACUGAAGCCCUGGUGAACGGCGGCAGUAACUAUAACUGUCCUAAGGUAGCGAAAUUCCUUGUCGGGUAAGUUCCGACCCGCACGAAAGGUGUAACGAUCUGGAUACUGUCUCAGAGAGAGACUCGGUGAAAUAAAACUAUCUGUGAAGAUGCGGAUUACCUGCACACGGACAGAAAGACCCUAUGAAGCUUUACUGUAACCUGGAAUUGCUCUCAAGCUUAUCUUGCGCAGCUUAGGUGGGAGGCUAUGAACCUUUUCUUCUGGGAAGAGGGGAGCCAUCAGUGAGAUACCACUCUUGGUAAGCUAGAGCGCUCAGUCUUCACCGUCAUCCGGUAAGACGACAGUUUCAGGCGGGCAGUUUGACUGGGGCAGUCACCUCCCAAAAGGUAAUGGAGGUGUGCAAAGGUUCCCUCAGGCUGGACGGAAAUCAGCCAUAGAGUGUAAAAGCAAAAGGGAGCUUGACUGCGAGACUGACAUGUCAAGCAGAGACGAAAGUCGGCUUUAGUGAUCCGACGGUGCUGUGUGGAAAGGCCGUCGCUCAACGGAUAAAAGUUACUCUAGGGAUAACAGGCUAAUCUCCCCCAAGAGUUCACAUCGACGGGGAGGUUUGGCACCUCGAUGUCGGCUCGUCGCAUCCUGGAGCGGAAGUACGUUCCAAGGGUUGGGCUGUUCGCCCAUAGAAAGCGGCACGCGAGCUGGGUUCAGAACGUCGUGAGACAGUUUGGUCCAUAUCCUGUGUAGGCGUUUAGAGCAUUGAAAGGAUCUCCCCUUUGUACGAGAGGACCAGGUGGGGACAGACCGCUAGUGUACCAGUUAUCCCACCAGGGGUAAACGCUGGGUAGCUAUGUCUGGAGUAAAUAACUGCUGAAAGCAUAUAAGUAGGAAGUUCACCUUAAGAUGAGUGCUCUUUUGUCUCAACCGUUCAGUUUUACUGACAAAUGAAAGACAAGGAAGGUCACGGCAAGACGAGCCGUUUGAUAGGCAUGAAGUAGAAGUGCAGUAAUGCAUUCUGAAGCUGACAUGUGCUAAUAGACCGAGGGAUUUGAUUUU
rnacentral:rRNA from 1 species